rnacentral:rRNA from 1 species
GCGAACGCUGGCGGCAGGCCUAACACAUGCAAGUCGCACGAACUCUUCGGAGUUAGUGGCGGACGGGUGAGUAACACGUGGGAACGUGCCUUUAGGUUCGGAAUAACUCAGGGAAACUUGUGCUAAUACCGAAUGUGCCCUUCGGGGGAAAGAUUUAUCGCCUUUAGAGCGGCCCGCGUCUGAUUAGCUAGUUGGUGAGGUAAAGGCUCACCAAGGCGACGAUCAGUAGCUGGUCUGAGAGGAUGAUCAGCCACAUUGGGACUGAGACACGGCCCAAACUCCUACGGGAGGCAGCAGUGGGGAAUCUUGCGCAAUGGGCGAAAGCCUGACGCAGCCAUGCCGCGUGAAUGAUGAAGGUCUUAGGAUUGUAAAAUUCUUUCACCGGGGACGAUAAUGACGGUACCCGGAGAAGAAGCCCCGGCUAACUUCGUG